GAGCUCGUAGGCGGUUUGUCGCGUCUGCUGUGAUAUCCCGAGGCUCAACCUCGGGCCUGCAGUGGGUACGGGCAGACUAGAGUGCGGUAGGGGAGAUUGGAAUUCCUGGUGUAGCGGUGGAAUGCGCAGAUAUCAGGAGGAACACCGAUGGCGAAGGCAGAUCUCUGGGCCGUAACUGACGCUGAGGAGCGAAAGGGUGGGGAGCAAACAGGCUUAGAUACCCUGGUAGUCCACCCCGUAAACGUUGGGAACUAGUUGUGGGGUCCUUUCCACGGAUUCCGUGACGCAGCUAACGCAUUAAGUUCCCCGCCUGGGGAGUACGGCCGCAAGGCUAAAACUCAAAGGAAUUGACGGGGACCCGCACAAGCGGCGGAGCAUGCGGAUUAAUUCGAUGCAACGCGAAGAACCUUACCAAGGCUUGACAUACACGAGAACACCCUAGAAAUAGGGGACUC
rnacentral:rRNA from 1 species